GCCCUGACCUCAACCCCAUCGAACACCUUUGGGAUGAAUUGGAAUGUCGACUGCGAGUAAUACGAACCCCCCAACAUCUUGACCUCACUAAUGGUCUUCUGGCUGAAUCGAAGCAAGUCUCAAGCAGUAGCUUGAGACUGCCCCGCAGCUCCCCCAGGAUUGCCUUGCAGAGCACAGAAGAAAUAUCAGCCCACAGAGAGAAGCAGGAGAUUGAACUUCACUCAACUUUCUAGAGUUUUCCCUGUUAGUUAACAUUAUCAACGUUUCCCUUUACUGUGGCAAUUGUAAUCAAGUGAGUUAUCAGCCCAGUUAUAGAUAAUGUGUAGUCAGCAAUAGGAGAGUGAUUGCUUCCUACAAGAGCACAAAAUGUCAACAUUUCUAGACAUCUUUGAAAAGCUAGUCAAAUAAAGAGCUUUUUUGUCUUAAAGGGGCAGUGUUGUUUUUGAGACAGACUUGAAUAAGCUUAGUAGCCAAUAGGCAGAGGGUAGCAUAAUUUGUCUGAUUAUCUGUAAUAAUGGUAUAAGAAUAACAAUGCAUUUUAUUUGGUUUCUUGAAUUAACCUUGUCAGAAGGACAAGUGGAUAAACAGGUUAAUGUCAAGCCCUGCAUGUUUUGUUUUUUUAAGUCUCACGGAAUGUAGGCCUACAUUGAACACCACACAUUGGCUGCUACUGUAGGCUGAAUGGUAGACCAGCUAUUUCCAUGUGUUAUGGGAUGCAUUUUCUCCAUUGUUUUUGAUGGUAGGCCACUCUGGUAGGCCUACAUUAUGAUCAAAUAGCAACAGUAGCCCACUUGGCCACUGUUAAAACUGUAACUUAAAGCGAGUACAGCCUCAGUGUUCACAGUAAAUGCGUGCUGGAAGAUGCACAGAAUUUUUACAACAUUCAAGUUUGCGCUCAGCAGACCUGAAAUUUGCUAAAUGCCCUCCCAAAAUUGAUGUCAAAUGAUAGAAUAAAAAACAUACCCCUGAUCUUUCUUCAGUUUGUUCAGGACGAUACUAUAUUUACAUUGACAUUUUUGUCAUUUAUUAGACGUUCUUAUCCAGAGUGACUUACAACCUGAUACAAAAGACUGUGAAUGUGUACAAAUGAUAACUUGCUAUGCUUGCUAGUUACAUUGUUUGCUAUGUUGUAGACAAUUCCUGCCAAGGUAACUAUAGCUAUCUAUUGGAAAUUGGGAAAGGGGCACAUUGCCCAACCCUUAAGGAAGUGC
rnacentral:lncRNA from 1 species